UACGAAGGGGGCUAGCGUUGUUCGGAAUUACUGGGCGUAAAGCGCACGCAGGCGGCGCGUUAAGUCAGGGGUGAAAGGCCUGGGCUCAACCCAGGAACGGCCUUUGAUACUGGCGCGCUAGAGUCCGGAAGAGGGUAGUGGAAUUCCCAGUGUAGAGGUGAAAUUCGUAGAUAUUGGGAAGAACACCGGUGGCGAAGGCGGCUACCUGGUCCGGUACUGACGCUCAGGUGCGAAAGCGUGGGGAGCAAAC
rnacentral:rRNA from 1 species